GACGAACGCUGGCGGCGUGCUUAACACAUGCAAGUCGAGCGGAAAGGCCCUUCGGGGUACUCGAGCGGCGAACGGGUGAGUAACACGUGAGGAACCUGCCCCAGACUUUGGGAUAACCUUCGGAAACGGAGGCUAAUACCGGAUAUGACAUUCCAUCGCAUGGUGGUUUGUGGAAAGUUUUUUCGGUUUGGGAUGGUCUCGCGGCCUAUCAGCUUGUUGGUGGGGUAAUGGCCUACCAAGGCGACGACGGGGAGCCGGCCUGAGAGGGCGACCGGCCACACUGGGACUGAGACACGGCCCAGACUCCGUACGGGGAGGCAGCAGGUGGGGAAUAUUGCACAAGUGGGCGGAA
rnacentral:rRNA from 1 species